GAUGAAGAACGUAGCGAAAUGCGAUAAGUAAUGUGAAUUGCAGAAUUCAGUGAAUCAUCGAAUCUUUGAACGCAUCUUGCGCUCCUUGGUAUUCCGAGGAGCAUGCCUGUUCGAGCGUCAUUACAACCCUCAAGCUCUGCUUGGUAUUGGGCCCCGCCAGUUCUGGCGGGCCCUAAAGUCAGUGGCGGUGCCUUCCGGCUCCGAGCGUAGUAAUUCUUCUCGCUCUGGAGACCCGGUUGUGUGCUUGCCAACAACCCCCAAUUUUUUAAGGUUGACCUCGGAUCAGGUAGGGAUACCCGCUGAACUUAAGCAUAUCAAUAAGCGGAGGA
rnacentral:misc_RNA from 1 species